AUUGAACGCUGGCGGCAGGCCUAACACAUGCAAGUCGAACGAGUGGCGGACGGGUGAGUAAUGUCUGGGAAACUGCCUGAUGGAGGGGGAUAACUACUGGAAACGGUAGCUAAUACCGCAUACCAUCGGAUGUGCCCAGAUGGGAUUAGCUAGUAGGUGGGGUAAAGGCUCACCUAGGCGACGAUCCCUAGCUGGUCUGAGAGGAUGACCAGCGACACUGGAACUAAGACACUGUCCAUACUCCUACGGGAGGCCGCAGUGGGGAAUGUUGCACAAUGGGCGCAAGCCUGAUCCAGCCCUGCCGCGUGUGUGAAGAGGGUCUUCGGAUUGUAAAGCACUUUAAGUUGGGAGGCGUUACCAACAGAAUAAGCGCCGGCUAACUUCGUGCCAGCAGCCGCGGUAAUAC
rnacentral:rRNA from 1 species